rnacentral:rRNA from 1 species
UACGUAGGGUGCGAGCGUUAAUCGGAAUUACUGGGCGUAAAGCGUGCGCAGGCGGUUCGUUAUGUCCGAUGUGAAAGCCCCGAGCUCAACUUGGGAAUGGCAUUGGAACUGGCGGGCUGGAGUGUGGCAGAGGGGGGUGGAAUUCCACGUGUAGCAGUGAAAUGCGUAGAGAUGUGGAGGAACACCGAUGGCGAAGGCAGCCCCCUGGGCCAACACUGACGCUCAGGCACGAAAGCGUGGGGAGCAAA